rnacentral:rRNA from 1 species
UACGGGGGGAGCAAGCGUUGUUCGGAUUUACUGGGCGUAAAGGGCGCGUAGGCGGUCAGCACAAGUCAGUUGUGAAAUCUCCGAGCUUAACUCGGAAAGGUCAACUGAUACUGUGCGACUAGAGUGCAGAAGGGGCAACUGGAAUUCUCGGUGUAGCGGUGAAAUGCGUAGAGAUCGGGAAGAACAUCAGUGGCGAAGGCGGUCUGCUGGGCCGUUGCUGACGCUGAGGCGCGACAGCGUGGGGAGCAAACAGG